AGGACGAACGCUGGCGGCGUGCUUAACACAUGCAAGUCGAACGGAGAUUAUGGGGUUGAGAGCUUCGGCAGGAAAGCCUGUAAUUCAGUGGCGGACGGGUGAGUAACGCGUGAGCAACCUGUCCCAGACAGGGGGAUAACACUUGGAAACAGGUGCUAAUACCGCAUGAGACCACGGCAUCACAUGGUGCAGGGGUAAAAGGUGCAAACCGGUUUGGGGUGGGCUCGCGUCCGAUUAGAUAGUUGGUGAGGUAACGGCCCACCAAGUCGACGAUCGGUAGCCGACCUGAGAGGGUGAUCGGCCACAUUGGAACUGAGAGACGGUCCAAACUCCUACGGGAGGCAGCAGUGGGGAAUAUUGGGCAAUGGGCGAAAAAGCCUGACCCAGCAACGCCGCGUGAGUGAUGAAGGCCUUCGGGUUGUAAAGCUCUGUUAUAGGGGACGAAGGAAGUGACGGUACCCUAUAAGGAAGCCCCGGCUAACUACGUGCCAGCCGCGGC
rnacentral:rRNA from 1 species